CGGUUUGGACCGCGGACCCGGCGUUGCGACCCGGCGCACGCCCCGAACAAAAAAUACCUCGGUGGGUUCAUAUUUUGUUGUUUUCUUUCUUUAGCCCGGGCAGUGACCCGGGUUUUCAUGGCCCGGGAUUCAGCCCUAACACACCUCAGUCUGGUUGCAAUUUUGCACCAUUUCAUUUAGUCUGGUCGUUUGCCAUUAAAUAGAGCGUUUCAUGCUUUAUUUUAUCGUGAAAUAAGUUUUCAGUAGAAAAGAUUUCGGGUUUCACGUAAUAAAAGCUGUUGCACACCCUGGUCUGGUUUGCAUUUUGCUUUAAUCAAAUAGUGUGGUAUUUGAUAUUGUUACUCACUAUCAAUCAGGCAGUAGAAUUGAUUUUGGGGUUUACGGUAUUUCACACUGACUUCAGGAGCGUCUGACGGCUAGAUUGCACCAUUUUCAGCGGAAUAGAAUUGGUUUUUUGUACUCAGCGUAUCAAACUUGGUUAUAAUAUCUCCUUAAUAAAUAGUAGAAACAAUCUAUAAGGAAAAACCCCUCGGCUUCCGGACCAAAAGAAAGCGUUUUGAGGUUAUUUGAUAAGGCACUGAUAAGUAGAGAGUUAACAAUUUUAACGUAUAAAGUAUACAUCUCGUCCUGUAACUUGUUUCAGUAUUUCGACUUUCUCUUAUUUCAAUUGAAUUUUGAAUUACUCGUCAGUAAUAAAGUAUUUAAGCAAUGGAACACUGAAAAAAUCCACCGGCAUACACUCAAGCUCCGCCAGCACCAUAUACAUCAGCACCAGCAGCACAAUAUCCGCACACAUCGAAUGCUCAAACAAAUUCCCCGAAUAAAAGCGGGCAAACUUUUGUCCAAAACGGAGCUCAUAAACCACAGCAAGCUUUCUAUGAAUAGGUUGGUCUUUUGGAAGAUGAAUUCACCCUUUGCGGCUGGUGCUGUUGCUUCUGGUGUUUCCCCCUCGGUACCAAACAGCGCUUGUCUAAUUUGUUUGUGGAGCAUGAGAGAAAAGAGAUGCAUCCAUUGUCAUGAAAUUUUUAAACCUUGAAAAAAGGGACCUUACGACCGACUCUCUGAAUAGCGACCACUACUACGUGCGUUUCGACUGAAGAAACAAAAAGCUGAACUUGGAUCUAUUUCCCAUUCCUUUGUGGAGAGAACUUGUCAAUUUAUUCGAAAAUAAACAAUUUCAAAUUAAAAUUUUAUCCCCUUAAACGAUUCAUUAGCCAGCAGCUCAACAAACUCUGGAUAAUAAUGACCUUGGGAAUAUGAUAUUUAAUUCAACCUGCAAUCACAACAAAGCCAGUGAUACCGGGGAUGUUGCAUACGAUGAUUUGUACCAGAACGGCACGGUACUGACAGAUUGGUUGACAUCUCCAAGUACCAUAUAUCAAUGUUGGUUAAGAAUUAAGAACCAAUGACAUGUAUUUUUUUUAUUUUGUGAAAAAAAAAAACAGAUUGUCAUUUAAAGCCAGAAUUUCAGGUUUCCGAUGAUGUCGUUACUUAGGGCUAGGUGACUCUCAACAUACAGAUUGUCAUUUAAAGCCAUAAUUUUAGGUUU